rnacentral:lncRNA from 1 species
GGCUGGACCCGCCGGGCGGCUCAGCCACCCCAGACCCAGCCGCAGCGCCCGUGGUUUCCGAACGCCCAGCGGCGUGGGUGAGGCCCGCGUGCCCUGGAGGCGGCUCUACCCUGGCUCCACGGAGUCCAGCCACUCGUUGGGUCCCUGAACACCAGAAGUGCGUCCCUAAGCCCACAUUGGGCCGCGACACCCCUGCAAGGUGGCGCAGGUGCGGUUGCCUCCGGCCUUCCUUUCCGGUUAGAGCCGGCAUUCCCUACCCUUGGCUGGGGGCGUUUGGGAAGGAGUUGGAGGAGAAAUGUCGGGGAAAGCUUAUGCAAACGAUUUCGCUGUCUGUGGCCUGCCCUUGGGACAUCAUUUCCAGUUUUCCAGUAAGAAGAGAACCCCAAAGUUGGAUAGGCUGCGUUUGUGUAAACCAGAUCCUGGGAUUCGUGCUUCACUGAUGCAGCUCAGGACAGCCCUUCCUUCUGCGAGAGUGGACCAACAGGUGAUUCCUGGUAUCCUGGCUUCCCUGUUUCACCCACAGGAGUGCAUUCCCUUUUGUUUGCGCCUCUCCCUCAUUCUUGUAAACAUUUCCUUUUGAACUCUUCAUCUUUUGUUGGUAAAUUGUCCCCUUCCCUGAAUCUCAGGUUUACUCUCCCAUCCCAAGGGGAACUCCCAGUGAGUAGUUGACCACUCUCUUCCACAUAAAUUCCCUGUUUGGACACCUGGAGGCUCCAGCUCUCUGAAGGGUUCAGUUAAUCUCCCACGCAACAGGGAACACCUUCAUACCAAGCUCAUUGCUUUUCCUAAAUGAAAAACACGCAGUCCUUUCUUCACAUCCCAGAUGUCUACAGGACAUCUACACUCCUGUUUUCUUUCAAAUUAACUUAUUUCUGAGACAAGGCCUUGAAAAGCAUCUCUGGUUCUGCAUCAUUUCCUAGUGUUGCAAUUACAGAGAUGAGUCACUAUAUCUGGCAAGAUUUGUCUUAUUUAUGCCCCCCAGCCCCCCAGGAGAGACGGAUCAACAGUUCAGAGCAAUUGCUACUCUUGUGGAGGACCAGAGUUCAAUUCCCAGCAUCCACAUCUCAGGGCUCACAGCCUCUUGAACUCUAGCUCCAAGGGGUCUGAAACCCUCUUCUGGCCUCCUCAAACACCUGUGCAAAUGUGGUAUUUAUUCACACAUACACACACAUACACGUAUCAUAAAUAUAUAUAUAUCUUUAAGACUAUAAAACAUUUGGCCUAGUGAUGGCACUGCUGAUGGCGCUGGUGUUGGUACAGCACUUGGGGAGGCUGGCAGAUCUCCUGAGUUCAAGACCUGCCUGGUCUACAGAGUCCAGUACAGCCAGGGUUACAUGGAAAAACCCAGUCUCAAAAAAUCAAAGCAACAACAAAGAUUCUAAAGAGUGUUCUGUGUAUGAGUGCCUGUAUGUUAUAUGCAUUUUGUGUCUGCUUUGUGCCUGUUAAAACCAGAAGAGGACACUUGAAUUCUUCUAGAACUGAAGUAAGGCAAUUGUGAACUUCCACAUGGGGCCUGGGAAUGGAAUCAAGGUUCUUAAAGAAAGAUUCUACGUCUUUUCAUACUAUUUUACCUCCCCCCACUAUGAAAACCAUCUCCCCAUCACUUACCGACAGUAGUCUCAUGUGUUGAUCUUGGAGCCAAGGAUGACCUGCCUUCACUGAUUGCAAACCCUCCAGCCACUCACAUUCCGGACACUGGGAGCGGAAACACGUGGGUGUCAGGCCCUCUCUGGAUCUUCUGAUGUUCCACAGCCACUGGCAUAGUGAUGCCCAUCAUGGUAUGCUGGGGAAGAAACAUGAUUGUGCAUUUCCUGGGAAGAAAGAACUUUGUCACAGUUUGAUUUCUGCCUUCCCAAAUAGCUUAUACCUAAGAGAACACUACCACAAGAGAGUACCACCUUAUCACAAUACCACAUUGCCAGAAGUUUAUGAUUAUAUUCACUGUGUACAUGAUAUUAAAAAGACCUAUAUUUAAAGCUGGGUGUGGUGAUACAUGCUUAUAAUCCAAGCAUCUGAUAGAAGGAGGCAGGAAGAUCAGGAGUUCAAAGUCACUCUUGGCUAAAAUCAAGGUUGAGUCCAGCUGAGGCUGAAAAGAGACCCUGUUCCAAAGUGGGGUGGGGGGAGAGAGAAAGAGAGAGAGAGAACUAAACCCUUUGUUUUGGGCUGGAGAUGGAACUCUUACUGGUAGAACACUUGCUUUAUAUGCACAAAAUCUAGAGUUUGGUUCUUCAGCACUGCACAAAUAAACACAUUUAUUUAUCAGGC